AAAGCCCUCCACACUAAAGGCAGGGAGUAUAAGUGCUGCAUAUAUUUAUGAUUGCUUAAUGUCAACAAAAGGGUCUUUUAAGCACAGCACAUUCCUUACCCUGCACUCGCAGAUCAUGCUAAACACAUCCAAAUGCACAAACUAUAAAAGAGGGAAGAGGCAGUACCGGCACCAAGCUCUUUGGUUUCUGCAUCUGGCCAGCGUCCACUGGGAGAAAUCUUGUCUAUGAGGUCUUUCAUCAGGCCUGUUUGUAAGAGGACUUCUUAAGAUCUGUUGUCUGCCUUUUGCAUAUGAUGUCCCUUUUGUUUCUCAUCAAUUAUUACCAAUUCAUCAUCAUCAUCUCUUUCUACAAUGUAUUUACAAACUUUUUUCCAACAAUUUUCAUGUUUAAGAACUACCAGGAAUGUUUGCCUUGGUAAAGAGCAAAGCAGAAGAAAAAAAUGUGCCUCAGAAGCUGUCAUCACAAAUCAGCCCUUGCUCACAUCUGCAGCCC